GAAGCGUCUGGAAAGGCGCGCGAUACAGGGUGACAGCCCCGUACACAAAAAUGCACAUAUUGUGAGCUCGAUGAGUAGGGCGGGACACGUGGUAUCCUGUCUGAAUAUGGGGGGACCAUCCUCCAAGGCUAAAUACUCCUGACUGACCGAUAGUGAACCAGUACCGUGAGGGAAAGGCGAAAAGAACCCCGGCGAGGGGAGUGAAAAAGAACCUGAAACCGUGUACGUACAAGCAGUGGGAGCCUCUUAAUGGGGUGACUGCGUACCUUUUGUAUAAUGGGUCAGCGACUUAUAUUCUGUAGCAAGGUUAACCGAAUAGGGGAGCCGAAGGGAAACCGAGUCUUAACUGGGCGUUAAGUUGCAGGGUAUAGACCCGAAACCCGGUGAUCUAGCCAUGGGCAGGUUGAAGGUUGGGUAACACUAACUGGAGGACCGAACCGACUAAUGUUGAAAAAUUAGCGGAUGACUUGUGGCUGGGGGUGAAAGGCCAAUCAAACCGGGAGAUAGCUGGUUCUCCCCGAAAGCUAUUUAGGUAGCGCCUCGUGAAUUCAUCUCCGGGGGUAGAGCACUGUUUCGGCAAGGGGGUCAUCCCGACUUACCAACCCGAUGCAAACUGCGAAUACCGGAGAAUGUUAUCACGGGAGACACACGGCGGGUGCUAACGUCCGUCGUGAAGAGGGAAACAACCCAGACCGCCAGCUAAGGUCCCAAAGUCAUGGUUAAGUGGGAAACGAUGUGGGAAGGCCCAGACAGCCAGGAUGUUGGCUUAGAAGCAGCCAUCAUUUAAAGAAAGCGUAAUAGCUCACUGGUCGAGUCGGCCUGCGCGGAAGAUGUAACGGGGCUAAACCAUG
rnacentral:rRNA from 1 species